CAGUAGCGCAGCAGAGGGUAGACUACUUUAUCCAUCAGUGGAAUAAGAAGAAGGACACAGACUAUGUCAAAGAUGGAAAGUGAUGCAGCAGGGAGUUGGAUACCAUAGUCAAGCAUCAUGUACUCAGCUUGAAUUAGGUAACAGACGAAUCAGGGACUUGACAUUUUCAACGCGGUGAUAAGAGAAGGCCCCACCAUAUGAUUCCUUAGCUCUGUCUAACCAAUGGAUUCCCUCACUUUGCAAGUUCUUAUCUGAAGACCAGUGUCUCUUGAUGGCUAAUUUCACAACUCUGUAAGUAUCUGUCAACACACUUCCACCAGGGGGCCUAACGACGUACCAAUUGCGACCAGUCAUAAAUACUACAGUUCCAAUCAUCAUUGAUAUAGCUGUGACGGCAUAUCCAUAAAAGAAUGUGUAUUUUUGCUGGACCCAGACAAUUAGCGUGAAAGAAAGAAAGGAGCCAAUGUUUAUAAACCAGUAGAACCAGUUGAAAAACUUCUGGACUGCACGAGGACCUUUUCCUUGCACCUGAUCAGCACCGAAAGGUGAAACAUUUGCUUUAAUCCCUCCUGUGCCAAAAGCAAUGACAACUAAGGCUACAAUGCUACUGGCUUUCCUCAGUGAGGAGCUAAGGUACUUUGUCUGCUUGCCAAAUAUGUUCAAUAUGUCCCCAGUGGUGCAGGCACCGGCAGCAAAUAACACUGUGCCAAAGAAGUAUACAAGACAGCUGGCAUAGAUAACAUUGUAGCGGCCCAUGAAGGUGUCAGCUAGCCAUCCCCCGAACACAGGAAUAAAGUAGCAAGUCCCUGAAAGAAAAAAAUUCAUGUUAAGACUACAACUUUAAUAAAAAAAUGAAAUUAUUAUAUAAAAAAAUAGUUGUUUAUCUUUAUAUAUAAGCGUGGAGGAAGCCUCUAAAUAAAAAAAAUAAUAAUAAAAAGAUUACAAAAAAAAUGAAAUAUUGUCACUGCCUCUACCCCCUCCUCCUUCCCUUCCAUAACCCCCAUAUCCCUUCUUACAUUGCUUUCUAAUCAUUCUUUGUUUAUUUUACUUAGACUGCUGAUCUAGAAAAAGUUGUCAACAUAAACAGGCAUUUCCAAUGCUAGAAGUACGGGCCUCUCUUCUUUGUAUUUCAUCGGAUAUGCCAGCCAAGUUAAAUACAGAAAGGUCUUCUUCUAACAGGGACAUACUUUAUUUACAGUGGACUGCUUACAAAGCAGGAUAAAGCAUUUUUCUUUUCCAGGCAGAUGAUUGCAUGUGGUGAGUCACAUGACUUUUCUAUGAUUAAAAAUUUAAAUCUUGUCAAGAUCAGCUUUAUACAAGUACCUUGAAACAAAAGGUUGACAGUUGAAGGCAUAGGCCUCUUAAAGCCUAAGCUAUCUUCACAGAAUGGCACUAGGUUUGCUGUUAUUCCAUAGAAGGUCAACCGCUCGCAAAGCUCCGUUAGGAGAAUACAUAAUGUCACGCCAAGUGACGAAGAUUUGCCGUUGCUUGCUUGGCUUCCCUGAAGAGUCGAACUACUUCCGCCUGUUAUCAACGGCGAAAGGCUGUCACUAUCUUUUUCUCUUGCUUCUUUAGAACUUGAUCUAGAAGCCAUUUUUCACUAACGAUUAUUAUUUCUGUAUCCUCAUUUAGUGAGCUCUUCCUUUCGAUUCCCUAUCCCGUAUUUAAGAUGAAACCUGAAAAGACAACAAAGUGGUGAAUACAAGCAGAGGAGCCAUGAAUGCUCAAGAAGGGUUUUAAUGCUACACAUCUACAUAUAUCCGUCAUAGAUGACUGGAUGUAUUGAAAGAACAUUACACAGUCACAGUCUAUAUGCACUAAUAACCAGGCAAUCAACAUAAUUAAAAAUUCGCUUAACCAAACAUAACAUUAGACAGACAAUGGUGACAUCGCUGAACCGAGACCAAGAAAAUUGCGGCGACGCUCGAGUCUUUACUCGCUCAGCUUCUACUCAACAAAACGAUAACUUACGGAUUAUUUGAUGGACCUAUCGAUGGAAAAAUGAGAGUCUAGAUGUAGCUGUCACUAAGACACUAUUCCUCUCGUCUGAUGUCUUGUUUUCCAGCGCUUGCUCUUCUAAAGUGUUUACGAUGUUUGAGUGUGAUGGUCAUGUGAUUGUUCCCUGCAGUUGCGUGACUGUAAGUUGUACGCAUGCGUGACCUGCGCUACACUGCCAGAGGAGUGGAGAGGGUUAAAAAUUGGGAAGUUUUACUUUGUUCGGCCAAACAUUACCCUGUAUGCCAGUGGCCUCAACAUUUACUCGCAGCUACCAGGAACAGAGUAAACAGUAACCGGAUAGAACUGCGGUCCAGAAAACGGUAUAAUGGGAGACAAAGUGACCGAAAAAAAAAACGAACCAAGUGAAGGGUGAAGGAUGCAUUACAACGAUUAGAGAGAGAAAAAAACAUGAACGACUGAAACCUUCCCACCCCCUUUUCACCUCUUUAAUGGUCUUUCUUAGACAAGAGAAUUCCACAGACUGCGCAGCGACCCCCCCCCCCCCCCCCCCCUCACUGAUGUGUCUCUGAACUGAUAGUCGACUCCACCAAAUUUUUUUCUGAAUAGCUGAAUAACGAACACGACUAUUUGGGUAUUUUGAUUGACUGAUUUACCUCAAAUAGGGAGGUUUACCACGGUCCUUGUAAUACUGACAGAUGGUACAUAUGUUUUAGUGGGGCUUUACCAGAUUUUUGAAUCGUUUUACAGGGAGAAGAGUUCAUUUCGUGAAUGAAGAUGUAUAGUAGGGGAGUAGUCCAGACCUGGGACAUUCUGGCUCGCGUGAAAGAGGGUCCAGUAUUUAUUGCAUGCGCAUGCGCGAAAAUACACCGCAUAUAUGCGGUGUGGCCUGGCUGCAGUUCAAGAUGGCUGCGAAAGGGACGAGCGAGGGUUUAUUUCAGAAAUAAUACGCUGAUUUUGGUCGUGGGUAAAUACUUGAUUGUCAAUCUUUUCUGAGAACAGGACAGAUGAUAAUUAGAUUCUGGAAAAUAUAUCAAUCAAAGAGC